UACGUAGGGGGCAAGCGUUGUCCGGAAUCAUUGGGCGUAAAGAGCGUGUAGGCGGCUCGGUAAGUCUGCUGUGAAAGUCCAGGGCUCAACCCUGGAAUGCCGGUGGAAACUGUCGAGCUAGAGUCCGGAAGAGGCGAGUGGAAUUCCUGGUGUAGCGGUGGAAUGCGCAGAUAUCAGGAGGAACACCAACGGCGAAGGCAGCUCGCUGGGACGGUACUGACGCUAAGGCGCGAAAGCGUGGGGAGCAAACAGG
rnacentral:rRNA from 1 species